rnacentral:lncRNA from 13 species
CACAGGGCCAUCGCUUGAACUUGGCACUCGAGGGCCCUGGGCUCAUCACCUCGAGUGCCUACAGCAAGGGCAUUCCCAGGCUGUGUCCCAGUCCUCAGAUAAGCCCCGCUCACUAAGCCAUGAGACAGUGAUGCUUAACUCAGAUGGAAAUGAGAAGGCGGUUCGGGGAAGGAACCAGCCUCAGCACCAUCUCCCCAGGGGCCUAACAUUCCAGGAGAAAGGUGAGCACCAUCCCCCUCCCUGGUAAGGUCUGCUCCUGGUCUUGUC